rnacentral:lncRNA from 1 species
CUCUGAGACUAUCGAUCACUACAGAAUAAGAGUAAAUCCUAGACAUAGUAUUACUAGUCUGCAGCUGGAAAUGACGUAAAUCUAGUAUGACAAUACCGACAACCGCGGAAGCAUCUAUUUUAUGCAAAGACCAUCUGUCCGCCUGACGUAUCCAUUACAACAGAGCCGCGGAGAAAGCAACAACCACGAAAUACAUUGGGACUUCUGGGGAAGUUAACUAGAGAAUCUCUGAUGAACUGAAUCUCCAGCAGACGGACUGGCGAUUCCAACAGAGAAGACAACAACGACAUACGGGCUGGACAGCUCCGAGUCUUCGGGAGAGAGCGUGAGCGGCUUCAGCAGCUCUGCCUCCUCUGUGUGCGCCUCCAUCGUCAGCCUGAAGGAGCCUCUAGCCCGCAGACCUGAAGACAACGACCUCCACAAGGCUAAGAGUCCCAUCUGGUCUACAGUAAAAACCACCUCACCCUCGCUCCCACCCAAAACACCUGGCCUGACUAAGGAUCCUCCCAAGGUUCAAAAUGCGGUCAUUGGGAAGUCAACUGAGGUUUGAGCUCUGAGUUUGAUUUGGAAUUAUCCAGAACAGAAGGAAAGCAUGACCUGUGUUACUGUAUAAAGAGGAGUGUUAUAUGACUCUGUUAUAUGACAGUUACUGCACUCUACUUGUACCAUUCUAUUUGUUUUGUUUUUAUUUAACCUUUAUUUAAAUAGGCAAGUCAGUUAAGAACAAAUUCUUAUUUACAUUGAUUUACAAGGAUUUUAUAAUUUCCCAUUAACAUGAAGUUUUGUAUUUUGUAAAAAGAAAAAAAGCAUUUCUGUCAUAUUCAGUUUGGUUCUGAUAUCAAGACUUUCACCCAUGAUCAUGUUGUUGUGUGCCUUAUUGGACCAUUCAAUAUGUAGUAAAUAUUCUUACCACAGAAAACCUGUGUUGGUG